CUUUUGGCGGGACAGUCCCGCUUUUGAGCAAUUUGUCCCGCGUCCCGCGGCGUUUUAAAAAAGUCCCGAUUUUUCAUUCUGCCUCCUGAAUCCCCGCUGCUGGCUAGAGGGAAAAAACCUGUUUAAACUCUUGCCGUGGGGCUUCAAAGGGCCGCCCUACUUGAUUAGCUCGGCUUCCCCCUCUCAGCUGAUUUGCGCAGGGCUCUGCUCUUCCUAAAUUGCUCCAGCAGGUUUUUUUUUUCUUUGUGCAAACCAAGCUCAAAACGAAAGUGAAACUGGCUGUUGGCUUUGCUGUUUGCUUGCAACGUUGCAAAAUUAGGCAGCAGAUUUAUUUUCCUUUUCCUCACCAAAAAAGAUUAUCAGCCUGGCCAGUAUCGGAAGCAAUAGACUGCAGAAAGCCACAGAGAGCAGAAAUAUUUUUGACCUGCAGUGAAUGUUACUGAAUUGGAAAGAAAAGGGAAAAAACAUUGCCUAAGCUUCUGCAAAAAAUAUAAACUGAAAACUCAUCAGUGGACAUAAAGAUGUUCAACUGUUUUCUAAAUCAACUCAAGCAAUAAUUAUCUUAUUCCUUUGGAAUUUUAUGAGAUGUAGUUCCCUUUCUUUAGACUCCUUCAUCAAUCAAAAUAUCAAGAUUUUUCGCUGUCCUUCAGCAACAUUCCAAGAGUUUGAACAGAACAAUAUUUUUGUCAUUCAUCUUAGUCUAUCGUGGCUGUUCCAAAUCUUGCGUCAUCCAAUGUACAAAAGGUCAACAUGACUUCUACAACCACUUAUAUUCCCCAAAUCCUGGAUCAUUAGUAUAGGUAAA